AGUUAAGUAAUGAAGCGUACAGGGCGGAUGCCUAGGCAGUCAGAGGCGAAGAAGGGCGUGCAAAUCUGCGAAAAGCGACGGCGAGCUGAUAGGAAGCGUGAUUAGCCGUUGAUACCCGAAUGGGGAAACCCGGUGCAAGCAGUUGCACUAUCGUUAGAUGAAUAAACUAGUUUAACGAGGCGAACCGGGAGAAGUGAAACAUCUAAGUACCCCGAGGAAAAGAAAUCAACCGAGAUUUCCCGAGUAGCGGCGAGCGAAAGGGAAGCAGCCCAGAGCGUGCAUCGCUAUUGAUAUCAGAGGAAAGGUCUGGACCGACCUGCUAAAGAGGGUGAGAGCCCCGUACUCGAAGAUAGCAGUAGUG
rnacentral:rRNA from 1 species